AGUGAACGCUGGCGGUAGGCCUAACACAUGCAAGUCGAACGGCAGCACAGUAAGAGCUUGCUCUUACGGGUGGCGAGUGGCGGACGGGUGAGGAAUACAUCGGAAUCUACUUUUUCGUGGGGGAUAACGUAGGGAAACUUACGCUAAUACCGCAUACGACCUACGGGUGAAAGCAGGGGAUCUUCGGACCUUGCGCGAUUGAAUGAGCCGAUGUCGGAUUAGCUAGUUGGCGGGGUAAAGGCCCACCAAGGCGACGAUCCGUAGCUGGUAUGAGAGGAUGGUCAGCCACACUGGAACUGAGACACGGUCCAGACUCCUACGGGAGGCAGCAGUGGGGAAUAUUGGACAAUGGGCGCAAGCCUGAUCCAGCCAUACCGCGUGGGUGAAGAAGGCCUUCGGGUUGUAAAGCCCUUUUGUUGGGAAAGAAAAGCAGCAGGUUAAUACCCCGCUGUUCUGACGGUACCCAAAGAAUAAGCACCGGCUAACUUCGUG
rnacentral:rRNA from 1 species